GACGAACGCUGGCGGCGUGCUUAACACAUGCAAGUCGAACGGUGAAGCGCCUUCCUUUUUGGUGGGUGUGGAUGAGUGGCGAACGGGUGAGUAACACGUGAGUAACCUGCCCCCUUCUUCUGGAUAACCGCAUGAAAGUGUGGCUAAAGCGGGAUAUUCUGGGUCUGUCGCAUGAUGGGUCUGGGAAAGAUAUUGUUUCGGUGGGGGAUGGGCUCGCGGCCUAUCAGCUUGUUGGUGGGGUGAUGGCCUACCAAGGCGGUGACGGGUAGCCGGCCUGAGAGGGUGGACGGUCACACUGGGACUGAGACACGGCCCAGACUACUACGGGAGGCAGCAGUGGGGAAUAUUGCACAAUGGGCGCAAGCCUGAUGCAGCGACGCCGCGUGAGGGAUGGAGGCCUUCGGGUUGUGAACCUCUUUCGCCAGUGAAGCAGGCCUGCCUAGUUUGUGGGUGGGUUGACGGUAGCUGGAUAAGAAGCGCCGGCUAACUACGUG
rnacentral:rRNA from 1 species